CAGGCACAGUUAACCUGUGGUGGACACACCAGCCCUGCUGGACAUCCACAGACUCUCAGGAUGCCUCAAAUAUGAGCUUCCCAUUUUCAAUUCAUGAUUUUAGCUGGAAAAUUCACAGGACAAAAGUGCAUCUUAUGGAUUGGCUUAAUUCCACUAUCCUUAUUUUAGAUUCUUAACAUCUUGGCUUUGCCUUCCCAGCCUGCAUCAGCCAUUCCAACAAUCUGAAAUGCUUCGUGUAGAGCAUCCCCCAUAUUCACUGGGAAUGAAUCAGAACAUGUGUAACUCAGGAGUUACUCAGAAACAUAAACUGCAAUUCCUGGAGUGUAAGCAUGGAGGAAGUGUUAAGCCAGCUGAUUCAAGUGAGGACAUCAUAGAUCUUCAGAAUUGCUGAUGCUGCUUAGAUUUUACAUGUGACUACGAUGACAAAUUUCACCUUCAGGAGCAGAGCUCCACAUUAUGCCACGACAGCAAUGCAGCCAACCUCUGCUGUAUGCCGGAUGCCCUCGCACCAGAGAGCCUUUGAAACCUUCUCCUGUUUCUUCAACACCUGAUGGUGAUUGUUUGACUGGAGAUUUACAGAUGACCUGAAACUCAAAGCUUCCAAGUAGCUGAAGUUACAGAAGCAUUGAAACGGUGCUGGGUUCACUGUUAUCAUCAUCUGAUGGCUACUGAACAGUGAAAUGAGAUGGUAAUGUCUGCAUUCCAGCGGUGGAAAGUUUCUACCAUCAAAAACACCAACACAACUCAAAGAAAAAGCUAUUUAGAGACCUUAUGUUCCAGGCAUGUUUGUAUACGUUUGAGUUCUAACCACAUCAGUAGCAUUGCUGCCUUUAAUGCAAUAUCUCCUCUGAUAGUCUGUUGCAGGCAUAGGAACUGGCAGGAUGAAGAUUACUUAUCUCUGAGGGGAAAUAGGCAAGACACUGUGAUCAGGGAAGAAAGAGACUUCCACCCCCUGCUCCCAUCCCAUCAACACUGAGAAGAACUGAUGAAGCCAAAAGGUCCAUGAGGCAGCUCUGCAAAAUGUCUGUGGCUUGGGCAGUGUUUUCUUUCACAGAGUGGCAUAAUCACAGGGUA